rnacentral:rRNA from 1 species
GAUGAACGCUGGCGGCGUGCCUAAUACAUGCAAGUCGAGCGAACAGACGAGGAGCUUGCUCCUCUGACGUUAGCGGCGGGCGGGUGAGUAACACGUGGAUAACCUACCUAUCAUACUGAUAUAACUUCGGAAAACCGGAGCUAAUACCGUAUAAUAUAUUGAACCGCAUGGUGCAAUGGUGAAAUACGGUUUUGCUGUCACGUCUAGAGGCUUACCUGCCGGAUUAGCUAGUUGGUACGGUAACGGCUUACGAAGGCAACGAUGCGUGGCCGACCUGACAGGGGGGUCGGCCACACUGGAACUGAGACACGGUCCAGGCUCCUACGGGAGGCAGCAGUAGGGAAUCUUACGCAGUGGGCGAAAGCUUGACGGAGCAACGCCGCGUGAGUGAUGAAGAUCUUCCGAUCGUAAAACUCUGUUAUUAGGGAAGAACAAAUGUGUAAGUAAAUAUGCACGUCGUGACGGUACCUAAUAAGAAAGCCCCGGCUAACUACGUG